rnacentral:rRNA from 1 species
CUACGGGGUGCUGCAGUGAGGAAUAUUGGUCAAUGGGCGCGAGCCUGAACCAGCCAUCCCGCGUGCAGGAUGACGGCCCUAUGGGUUGUAAACUGCUUUUCUAUGCCAAGAAACCUGAUUACGUGUAAUCAGCUGCCGGUAGCAUAGGAAUAAGCAUCGGCUAACUCCGUGCCAGCAGCCGCGGUAAUACGGAGGAUGCAAGCGUUAUCCGGAUUCAUUGGGUUUAAAGGGUGCGCAGGUGGGCUUGUAAGUCAGUGGUGAAAUGCUGCCGCUUAACGGUAGAACUGCCAUUGAUACUGCGAGUCUUGAGUAUGGUUGAGGUAGGCGGAAUGUGUUGUGUAGCGAUGAAAUGCAUAGAUAUGACACAGAACGCCAAUUGCGAAGGCAGCUUACUAAGCCAUUACUGACGCUGAGGCACGAAAGCGUGGGGAGCGAACAGGAUUAGAUACCCUCGUAGUC